AUUGAACGCUGGCGGCAUGCCUUACACAUGCAAGUCGAACGGCAGCACGGGGCAACCUGGUGGCGAGUGGCGAACGGGUGAGUAAUGCAUCGGAACGUGCCAUUGAGUGGGGGAUAACGUAGCGAAAGUUGCGCUAAUACCGCAUAUUCUGUGAGCAGGAAGCAGGGGACCGCAAGGCCUUGCGCUCUUUGAGCGGCCGAUGUCAGAUUAGCUAGUUGGUGAGGUAACGGCUUACCAAGGCGACGAUCUGUAGCGGGUCUGAGAGGAUGAUCCGCCACACUGGAACUGAGACACGGUCCAGACUCCUACGGGAGGCAGCAGUGGGGAAUUUUGGACAAUGGGCGCAAGCCUGAUCCAGCCAUGCCGCGUGAGUGAAGAAGGCCU
rnacentral:rRNA from 1 species